rnacentral:rRNA from 1 species
ACAUGGCUACAACAUAGAAUUAAUGCAUCGGAUCCAUUAGAACUCCGUAGUUAAGUACGCUCGGGCUAGAGUACCACUGGGAUGGGUGACCUCCCGGGAAGUCCUAGUAUCUUACAUGCC